UAUGGUCAAGUGACUAAGCGCACACGGUGGAUGCCUUGGCAGUCAGAGGCGAUGAAAGACGUGGAAGCCUGCGAUAAGGCUCGGGGAGCUGGCAAACAAGCUUUGAUCCGGGCAUUUCUGAAUGGGGAAACCCACUUAGCACAAGCUAGGUAUCCUGCACUGAAUACAUAGGUGUAGGAGGCAAACCGGGAGAACUGAAACAUCUAAGUACCCCGAGGAAAAGAAAUCAACCGAGAUUCCCUUAGUAGCGGCGAGCGAACGGGGAUUAGCCCUUAAGUCUGUAGAGUGUUAGUGGAAGGCUCUGGAAAGUGCCGCGAUAGAGGGUGAUAGCCCCGUACACGAAAAUGCUUUACAGGUGAAAACGAGUAGGACGGGACACGAGAAAUCCUGUUUGAAGAUGGGGGGACCAUCCUCCAAGGCUAAAUACUCCUGACUGACCGAUAGUGAACCAGUACCGUGAGGGAAAGGCGAAAAGAACCCCUGUUAGGGGAGUGAAAUAGACCCUGAAACCGUGUGCGUACAAGCAGUCGGAGCAGACUUGUUCUGUGACGGCGUACCUUUUGUAUAAUGGGUCAGCGACUUAUUCUCAGUGGCGAGGUUAACCGUAUAGGGGAGCCGUAGGGAAACCGAGUCUUAAUAGGGCGCGCAGUCGCUGGGAAUAGACCCGAAACCGGGCGAUCUACCCAUGGGCAGGUUGAAGGUUGAGUAACAUCAACUGGAGGACCGAACCGUAAUCUGUUGAAAAAGAUUCGGAUGACCUGUGGGUCGGAGUGAAAGGCUAAUCAAGCCCGGAGAUAGCUGGUUCUCCUCGAAAGCUAUUUAGGUAGCGCCUCGUGUAUCACCACCGGAGGUAGAGCACUGUUUGGACUAGGGGGUCAUCCCGACUUACCAACUCCAUGCAAACUCCGAAUACCGGUGAGUGCAAGCACGGGAGACACACGGCGGGUGCUAACGUCCGUCGUGAAAAGGGAAACAACCCAGACCGCCAGCUAAGGCCCCAAAAUCCUGGUUAAGUGGGAAACGAUGUGGGAAGGCUAAAACAGCUAGGAGGUUGGCUUAGAAGCAGCCAUCCUUUAAAGAAAGCGUAAUAGCUCACUAGUCGAGUCGGCCCGCGCGGAAGAUGUAACGGGGCUCAAACCAGGUGCCGAAGCUGCGGGCUCAUCUAUGAUGAGCGGUAGAGGAGCGUUGUGUAAGCCGUCGAAGGUGGAUUGAGAAGUCUGCUGGAGGUAUCACAAGUGCGAAUGCUGACAUGAGUAACGAUAAGGGGUGUGAAAAACACCCCCGCCGGAAGACCAAGGUUUCCUAUCCCAUGCUAAUCAGGGUAGGGUGAGUCGGCCCCUAAGGCGAGGCGGAAACGCGUAGUCGAUGGGAAGCAGGUUAAUAUUCCUGCACUUGUUGUGAUUGCGAUGGGAGGACGGAGAAGGCUAGGCGAGCCAGGCGUUGGUUGUCCUGGUGAAAGCAAGUAGGCGGUGCCCUUAGGCAAAUCCGGGGGUGCAUAACGCCGAGAUGCGAGAGGAAGAUGAUCUUCGGAGAUUCGAACUCGUUGAUGCCACGCUUCCAAGAAAAGUCUCUAAGCUUCAGAUCACAAGAAACCGUACCCCAAACCGACACAGGUGGUCAGGUCGAGAAGACCAAGGCGCUUGAGAGAACUCGGGUGAAGGAACUAGGCAAAAUGGUGCCGUAACUUCGGGAGAAGGCACGCCGACAUUAGGUGACGUUUACACGAACUGAGCCGAAGUCGGUCGAAGAUACCAGGCCCCUGCAACUGUUUAUUAAAAACACAGCACUCUGCAAACACGUAAGUGGACGUAUAGGGUGUGACGCCUGCCCGGUGCCGGAAGGUUAAUUGAUGGGGUUAGCGCAAGCGAAGCUCUUGAUCGAAGCCCCGGUAAACGGCGGCCGUAACUAUAACGGUCCUAAGGUAGCGAAAUUCCUUGUCGGGUAAGUUCCGACCUGCACGAAUGGCGUAAUGAUGGGGGCGCUGUCUCCACCCGAGACUCAGUGAAAUUGAAAUCGCCGUGAAGAUGCGGUGUAUCCGCGGCUAGACGGAAAGACCCCGUGAACCUUUACUAUAGCUUCACACUGGACUUUGAUAUUGUUUGUGUAGGAUAGCUGGGAGGCUUUGAAACUGUGACGCUAGUUGCAGUGGAGCCAACCUUGAAAUACCAGCCUGGCAAUCUUGAGGUUCUAACCUAGAUCCAUUAUCUGGAUCAGGGACCGUGUGUGGUGGGUAGUUUGACUGGGGCGGUCUCCUCCCAAAGAGUAACGGAGGAGCACAAAGGUACCCUCAGGCUGGUCGGAAAUCAGCCAAUGAGUGCAAGAGCAUAAGGGUGCUUGACUGCGAGACAGACACGUCGAGCAGGUACGAAAGUAGGUUCUAGUGAUCCGGUGGUUCUGUAUGGAAGGGCCAUCGCUCAACGGAUAAAAGGUACUCCGGGGAUAACAGGCUGAUACCGCCCAAGAGUUCACAUCGACGGCGGUGUUUGGCACCUCGAUGUCGGCUCAUCACAUCCUGGGGCUGAAUUCGGUCCCAAGGGUAUGGCUGUUCGCCAUUUAAAGUGGUACGCGAGCUGGGUUUAGAACGUCGUGAGACAGUUCGGUCCCUAUCUGCCGUGGACGUUGGAGACUUGAGAAGAGCUGCUCCUAGUACGAGAGGACCGGAGUGGACGAACCUCUGGUGUUCCGGUUGUCAUGCCAAUGGCACUGCCGGGUAGCUAUGUUCGGACGGGAUAACCGCUGAAAGCAUCUAAGCGGGAAGCCCCCUUCAAGAUAAGGUCUCCCUGAGGACUUGAUCCUCCUAAAGGGCCCUUGAAGACGACAAGGUUGAUAGGCCGGGUGUGGAAGUGCAGCAAUGCAUUGAGCUAACCGGUACUAAUGACCCGUGAGGCUUGACCAUA
rnacentral:rRNA from 1 species